rnacentral:rRNA from 1 species
AGCCUACGGGAGGCAGCAGUGGGGAAUAUUGGGCAAUGGGCGCAAGCCUGACCCAGCAACGCCGCGUGAAGGAAGAAGGCUUUCGGGUUGUAAACUUCUUUUAUCAGGGACGAAACAAAUGACGGUACCUGAUGAAUAAGCCACGGCUAACUACGUGCCAGCAGCCGCGGUAAUACGUAGGUGGCAAGCGUUAUCCGGAUUUACUGGGUGUAAAGGGCGUGUAGGCGGGACUGCAAGUCAGAUGUGAAAACUAUGGGCUCAACUCAUAGCCUGCAUUUGAAACUGUAGUUCUUGAGUGUUGGAGAGGCAGGCGGAAUUCCGUGUGUAGCGGUGAAAUGCGUAGAUAUACGGAGGAACACCAGUGGCGAAGGCGGCCUGCUGGACAAUAACUGACGCUGAGGCGCGAAAGCGUGGGGAGCAAACAGGAUUAGAUACCCGAGUAGUCGAU